rnacentral:rRNA from 1 species
GACGAACGCUGGCGGCGUGCUUAACACAUGCAAGUCGAACGGAAAGGCCCUGCUUUUGUUGGGUGCUCGAGUGGCGAACGGGUGAGUAACACGUGAGUAACCUGCCCUUGACUUUGGGAUAACUCCAGGAAACUGGGGCUAAUACCGGAUAGGAGCUCCUGCUGCAUGGUGUGGGUUGGAGAGUUUCGGGGGUUGGGUAUGGACUCGCGGCUUAUCCGCUUGUUGGUGGGGAAGUGGCUUACCAAGGCUUUGACGGGUAGCCGGCCGGAGGGGGUGACCGGCACAUUGGGGACUGGGAACGGGCCAGGACUCCUAGGGGAGCAACAGGGGGGAAUAUUUCACAAAUGGGGGAAAGCCUGAUGCAGCAACGCGGGGUGCGGGAGGACGGCCUUCGGGUGGAAACCCGUUUUCGCAUGUGACGAGGCGUGAGUGACGGUAAUGGGUAAAGAAGCACCGGCUAACUACGUG